rnacentral:rRNA from 1 species
AUGUUUGACAGAACUGAGCGGAUGCUUCGGGGAGUCAGGCAUGUGCCGGGGCUAAGGAGGAAUCUAAUUUUGCUUGGAGUUCUUCAUGAUGGUGGUAUGGUAUUUCGUUGUGAUCGGGAUAAGAAGACCAUGAUCAUGGAAGAUGAGGUGACCGUGAUGAUUGGAGGGAGGACGGCUGCACAUCUUUACAAGUUGCAAGGAGGCACUAUUGCAGGCACUAGUAGAAAACAGGGCUUUGGUUCGGCCAGAAAAGGGCAUUAG